GCGUAGGGAAGCACAUAAAAAUUCAAAUAAAUUAGAAUUAACAACUAAAACUGAGACGUUCUUACGGCAAAAUGAAAUUAUAUAGCACGAAAUUAUUAAAUAAUUUGAAUUAAUUAUUUUGAGUUAAGUAGAAAUUGGACCCAAAAAUUAUUUGGAUCAAUUUGAACCAAAUUGUUACCAUUAGUAUCAGAGUCACUCUAGAUCAAAAAAAUUAUGUGAAACUAGUGAGUCUGUGAGGAAAGUACUAUCCGUGCGAGAAGAAGUGAAGCAGUUGAGACACUAGCAAACCACAAUACUCGAGUGUUCGAUCCUAAUUUAGUAAUUGUAUCCAACGUCACAAAAUUUAACAAGGGAGAAUGAAAUGUCCCACAUCAAGAAAUUAUGGAAAAAUGCAAUUGUAUAUAAUAACUGGUAU
rnacentral:lncRNA from 1 species